AUUGAACGCUGGCGGCAGGCCUAACACAUGCAAGUCGAGCGGAUGAAGGGAGCUUGCUCCUGGAUUCAGCGGCGGACGGGUGAGUAAUGCCUAGGAAUCUGCCUGGUAGUGGGGGAUAACGUCCGGAAACGGGCGCUAAUACCGCAUACGUCCUGAGGGAGAAAGUGGGGGAUCUUCGGACCUCACGCUAUCAGAUGAGCCUAGGUCGGAUUAGCUAGUUGGUGGGGUAAAGGCCUACCAAGGCGACGAUCCGUAACUGGUCUGAGAGGAUGAUCAGUCACACUGGAAGUGAGACACGGUCCAGACUCCUACGGGAGGCAGCAGUGGGGAAUAUUGGACGAUGGGCGAAAGCCUGAUCCAGCCAUGCCGCGUGUGUGAAGAAGGUCUUCGGAUUGUAAAGCACUUUAAGUUGGGAGGAAGGGCAGUAAGUUAAUACCUUGCUGUUUUGACGUUACCAACAGAAUAAGCACCGGCUAACUUCGUG
rnacentral:rRNA from 1 species